rnacentral:ncRNA from 2 species
UAAUUUUGCAGCUGUUUUGGUGAUACGUCGGUCAUUCUGCCGUUCGCAUAAAAGGGAAUCCGGUCGGAGUCCGGAACAGUGCCCGCUACUGUGGAACCCGUGAAGAGGAAAAGCAAACUUACACCACUGUCGUCAUUGACGGGAAGGUCGCUUUUCGGGGUGUAGUCAGGAAACCUGCCAAGCAUAAAAGACGAAC